CCACCACGCUGCUCCAAUGCGGGUUGGUGGAGGUGUUUUACAGCUAAUAGCCGGGACCAACAACAACAAUAAACAAUAAAUACAUUUUAUUAUUAAAAUUAGUACUUGCGAAUCAAAUAGACACAUUGCUAUCCAAGUACCCCGGUAGAAUUGCUUCUCCAACUCCCUUAAGACGACUCUUGCCCCCUACGACUCUUUUUCCCCCCUAGACAACUCUUUCCCCCUAUAUGACCCCCCCCCCCAACAACUCAUUCCCCCAAGUCGACUCUUGCUCCACCUACUCCCCCUAGACGACUCUUGCUCCCAAAAACUGGGUAGGUACGUCCAUGAAACUCGCUAGUAAUAAAGUUUUGAAUCCUUUGAAGCGAGGUGAUUACUUGCUCUAAAAAAAAUUGCUGUUUAAAUAGUUGUCUCACGUACCUGAGCCGCGCGAUCUCCCUCAUAAUCUCUCUGUUCUUGGCUUCUAGUUGAGAGAUAAGCUCGCGCUGUUGCCGCGCCGCGUCCACCUCAGACCCCUCCACUGACGACCGACCCUGGACACCCCAAUAUGUUACACAAUUAAUAAAAUAUCAUCAUCAUCAUCAGCCCAUUAACAUCCCCACUGCUGGGGCACGGGCCUUCCCUAUGGAUGGAUAGGGAGAUCGGACCUUAAACCAUCACGCGGGCCCAGUGCGGAUUGAUGGUUAUUAACGACUGCUAAUGCAGCCGGGACCAACGGCUUAACGUGCCUUCCAAAGCACGGAGGAGCUCGAGAUGAAACUUUUUUUGUGGUCACCCAUCCUGUGACCGGCCUUUGCGAAAGUUGCUUAACUUCAACAAUCGCAGCCCGAGCGCGUUAAUAAAAUAUACAUACAUAUAUAAACUCACGACUAUAUGGUCAGAGGUACAUCAUCGCAAGGUGAAUUAAGUAACCACGCCUUACCAAACUCUAUGUUAGACCAACGUGAUAGGUGGUGAGCCGUAUCGCCGUCUAUAAUGGUCGAGCCAACUGUGUUAGUGAAAACUGCACUUAAGGUAAAUUAAUAACUCAUUGGUGCAUGUCCGUUAACGGGGUUCGAACCGACGCUCCCCAUUGGAGAAGCAAACCGAUGUACAGGACCACAGUGACUAUCCAUAUAAUAAAUAUAUACUACUGACUACUCAUAUAAAGAAAGAGAAAGGGAAAGAGAGGAAGGGGAAGACCAAGAAGAGCUUACAUGGAACAGAUUAAAGAAAAGGUUAACGUCGUGUCUUAUAGGGAAGUCAAGGAAUUGUCCUUUGAUAUACUGGAAUGGAAAAUGCUACACCGACAAGAGCGUGGCUCUUAAAUUGAUGAUGAUGACUCAUAUAUAAAUAUAAAAAAUAUGAUUAUCAUUAUAAGGUUUUGAUUUAUAGAGUAUGUAUAGAUAAAAUAUAAUUUACCAAUUCCGGAGUUAGUGACGCUGAUCUGCCGGCUCGGGGCUGUAACAAAAUAAAAAUCAUCUCACAUGACAUUAGAAAUAGAGUCUAAAAGGAUAAAAAUCUAACAACUGUUACUAUAUAAUUCCAUAACAAUACUUUGUUUAUUAUGAGGAUAUAUAUAUAUACGGAUAGAUGUAUAUAUUAAGAGGAAAUGACUGGAACCCAGCGCUAGAUGGCGUCAUAGCAUGGCUCUAUCACAUCACAAGCUGAGCCAUUUCCUUUAAUGUGUAAUCCUCCUAAUAAUGUGUAAUUUAUUGUACACAUACAUACAUAAACUCACGCCUAUUUCCCAUCGGAGUAAGCAGAGACUAUGGAAUUCCAUUUGCUUCGAUCCUGACAUACUGCUCUUGCUUCCUCCACAUUAAUCAAUCGUUUCACACACGCACGCCGGUUCAGAGAAGAUCGUACUGAACCUUUUCUAAGGACAUCUUCAAUUUGGUCAAUAUACAAUCAAAUAGCAAAAGUGCAGUCAGUGAGCCCAGCGAAUUAUUUGUAAACAGUGGUGAAGUUAUAAAUUAUUACUUGUCAUAAUUAUGAAAUUUAUGUUUUUGUAGUUGUUUUUGGUCUAUUACAGAAACGACAUGUAACCAGGAAGUCUUAAGUGCAACCAAUUAAUUUAUUACUUUGCAAAAAACUGAUUGAACUUUUGCACCUCAUCGUACGGUCACGAGUACUAAUAUGUAUACAUUUUGAAACCAUGUCACAUUAACUUUUUCGACAAAUUAAACCGUAAGUCUCGUUACAUGUCAAAUAUGAUAGUGCGACAGGGUUCUAAAGUGGGUACAUGAUAUUGCUCAUGACUGUACAUCCUUAUAAUUUGUUUGUUAUUGUACACAGAAACAAUAUGACUUUAAGUGUAAAUACGAUACUGAACUUACCAUCGUACGGUUCUCCUGUGCCAGUCUCGCCGCGUACCUCGCUAUCAGCCGAUGUUCGUCGUCUACCCCGCGCGAUAGGUGUUCGACUAUACCUGAUAUGGACAACUCAUUUAGGAGGAUUUUAUACAUUUGACGUUAUAGCGUGGUGCAUAGAACAAGUGCGAUAGUGUCAAUACCAGAAAUCAGUUCCUAUAGACGCAGACACGUCUUCUCCGACCAAGUAGUUAAUGCCAUUUGGGGCAAAUUUUAAAAAAAGACUAGUCUAAUAUGAUCAAAAAUCAACCUCAUUUUUCUUUGCGUUUACGUAAUUGCAAAGAAAAAUUAGUAAUUUUGUACGACGUUCACACGGUAUUUCUGUACUUUCAUUUAAAAAUUUCGUUCUGACGUUUCGUAAAAAAUGUCUCAUGGGUUGUUAGGACAUUGGCUCCAAGGGUGGGGGCUUAGGUUUCAUUAUACAUCGUCAUCACCUUUCAUCAUUUCAUUAAUCAUCAUCAAGAAAAAAAAAAUACAUAAGACAUGGCUGUAUGGGCAUAGUUCCCUUUGCCUUGCCCUUCGGGGAAAAUCAAAACAAAAAAAAAUCUCUAUGGUCUGGAUUGCUAUGGUUAUUUAAUAUUAUUAUGGUUACUUACUGCGAUGCGUGGACCGUGAGGAGCGUGAGUCGAGAGAGCCUGUAUUGUAUCCCGCCACGUACUCCGGGAACCCGUUAUGGGCCGGCACCGGUGACGGAGGCCUGUUGACGGAGACAUAGACAAUAUUUAUUUAAAAGAAAAACUUUUUGCUCAAUACAUAUUCGAACACGGUCAGACAGGCAGUCGCUUCUGUAAAAAACUGGACCUGUCACAUCUGCAGGUUCAACUAAUUACUAUUUCUAUGUUAAUAAAUAUUGUACACCUGAAAAGGUAAACUAUAGAGAAUGACUAUUAGCACAAGGCCUGCUAUUUGUUUACCUAUGGUUAUACAAUAAAUGCAUUUGAUUUAAUUUCGAUACUCGUAUGAAAUUAGCCCUCUAUGGAUGUGAAAAGUGGACGCUGACUCAGAAAGACAGAGAGAGACUCGAGGCCUUUGAUAUGUGGUGUUGGAGGAGUAUGGAAAGAAUAAGUUGGACAGAAAGAGUUUCUAAUGAGGAAGUGCUAGUAAGAGUAAGGGAAAAGAGGCAAAUAUUGAGAGUUAUUGACGAAGAAGAGGCAAGAUGACUGGACACCUAAUAAGACAUGACGACACAUACAUACAUGAACUCACGCCCGUAAUCCUUAAUGGGGUGGGCAGAGCCACAAGUAAUCAAAGACAACUUGCAGCCACUGUUGAUACGAUGUCGUAAGCUGGAUAUGAUGAACUUUAUGGUGAUAAGGGAUCAGCCUAUCGCCCAUAACAUUAGUCCACAAGACAAAACGAAUGACGAAUAAGACAGACAAAUAAGACAGAAUAAGUAAGACAUGACGAAUUUAUUAAAAAUAUCAUAGAAUUGAAGCUAUAAGGAAAGAGAGGAAGGGGAAGACCGAGAAGAGCUUACAUGGAACAGAUUAAAGAGAAACCGGUGAAGGAAUUGGUCUUUCAUAGAAAAGAAUGGGAAUGCUACACCGACACGAUGGUGGCUCUUAAAUUAGUGAUGACCGACAGGUGGGGAUGAUUCUUGGCCUGAAUCAUCCCUGAAAGUUUUCGUUACGAUGUGACUAACGCCCUGUAUAUGACAAUAACUUGCGAGCGACACGUAUGACAGUCGUAUCAAAGUCGAGCGCUGUAUGUACUUCAAUGAGGUGAUUUGUACACGUACACGAUGUGGGACAGGUUGAGCGUCCGCUCGGGCUGGUCGGGGUACCGCGGCAGUGGCGCGCGGGCCCGCUCCGGCACGCACCGGAACGACUUGCGCAGCGUCGCGCCGAUCUGCUUCGACGGGGACUUCUGCAAACAUAUACCACAUUCACAUUAUCUAUAUAUAAAUAAAAAUGAAUUGCUGUUCGUUAGUCUCGCUAAAACUCGGGAACGGCUGAACCGAUUCGGCUAAUUUUAGUCUUGAAAUAUUCGUGGAAGUCCAGGGCAGGUUUAAACGGUGAUAAAAUAUGGAAAAGGGUGAUACGAAGUUCACCGGGUCAUCUAGUGUGUAAUAUUUGCUUUUUUCCCCUACUGUGUUUGUAUUGUUACUGUGGUGUCCUCUAAUAAUAAAUACUUUUUUUCUUU